rnacentral:rRNA from 1 species
UACAUGGGGUGCAAACGUUGCUCGGAAUUAUUGGGCGUAAAGCGCGCGUAGGCGGUUACUUAAGUCGGAUGUGAAAGCCCUCGGCUUAACUGAGGAAGUGCACCCGAAACUGAGUAGCUAGAGUACGAAAGAGGGUCGCGGAAUUCCCGGUGUAGAGGUGAAAUUCGUAGAUAUCGGGAGGAACACCAGUGGCGAAGGCGGUUGCCUGGGGCUUUGCUGACGCUGAUGCGCGAAAGCGUGGGGAGCGAUCCGG